CAUGCAAGUCGAACGAGCGAGAGAGAGCUUGCUUUCUCGAGCGAGUGGCGAACGGGUGAGUAACGCGUGAGGAACCUGCUUCAAAGAGGGGGACAACAGUUGGAAACGACUGCUAAUACCGCAUAAGCCCACGACCCGGCAUCGGGAAGAGGGAAAAGGAGCAAUCCGCUUUGAGAUGGCCUCGCGUCCGAUUAGCUAGUUGGUGAGGUAACGGCCCACCAAGGCGACGAUCGGUAGCCGGACUGAGAGGUUGAACGGUCACAUUGGGACUGAGACACGGCCCAGACUCCUACGGGAGGCAGCAGUGGGGAAUAUUGCACAAUGGGGGAAACCCUGAUGCAGCGACGCCGCGUGGAGGAAGAAGGUCUUCGGAUUGUAAACUCCUGUUGUUGAGGAAGAUAAUGACGGUACUCAACAAGGAAGUGACGGCUAACUACGUGCCAGCAGCCGCGGUAAAACGUAGGUCACAAGCGUUGUCCGGAAUUACUGGGUGUAAAGGGAGCGCAGGCGGGAAGACAAGUUGGAAGUGAAAUCCAUGGGCUCAACCCAUGAACUGCUUUCAAAACUGUUUUUCUUGAGUAGUGCAGAGGUAGGCGGAAUUCCCGGUGUAGCGGUGGAAUGCGUAGAUAUCGGGAGGAACACCAGUGGCGAAGGCGGCCUACUGGGCACCAACUGACGCUGAGGCUCGAAAGUGUGGGUAGCAAACAGGAUUAGAUACCCUGGUAGUCCACACCGUAAACGAUGAUUACUAGGUGUUGGAGGAUUGACCCCUUCAGUGCCGCAGUUAACACAAUAAGUAAUCCACCUGGGGAGUACGACCGCAAGGUUGAAACUCAAAGGAAUUGACGGGGGCCCGCACAAGCAGUGGAGUAUGUGGUUUAAUUCGACGCAACGCGAA
rnacentral:rRNA from 1 species